GAUGAACGCUAGCGGCAGGCCUAACACAUGCAAGUCGAGGGGUAGAAGGAGCUUGCUCCUUUGAGACCGGCGCACGGGUGCGUAACGCGUAUGCAAUCUACCUUGUACAGGGGAAUAGCCCAGAGAAAUUUGGAUUAAUGCCCCAUAGUAUAUAACCUUCGCAUGUUGGUUAUAUUAAAGUUCCAACGGUACAAGAUGAGCAUGCGUCCCAUUAGUUAGUUGGUAAGGUAACGGCUUACCAAGACGAUGAUGGGUAGGGGUCCUGAGAGGGAGAUCCCCCACACUGGUACUGAGACACGGACCAGACUCCUACGGGAGGCAGCAGUGAGGAAUACUGGUCAAUGGUCGCAAGACUGAACCAGCCAUGCCGCGUGCAGGAAGACGGUCCUAUGGAUUGUAAACUGCUUUUAUACAGGAAGAAACCCUCCCACGUGUGGGAGCUUGACGGUACUGUAGGAAUAAGGAUCGGCUAACUCCGUG
rnacentral:rRNA from 1 species